GCUUUUUUAGAGGAGCAAUCAUGCAUUUCCUGGGCAUAUAAGAGUACUUCAAUAAGCUGAUGCUUCAACACCGAGAAAAUGUGGCAAUUCCUACAUCCAGAGAGAAGAAUACUUCAUUAGCAUGGGUCACUGAAAGACACAGCAAAGCAUUCUGUGAGAGAAAGAGUUGGUUGGUAUACCUCUGCUGUACCAGCAGAUUCUAAGUACACAAGCAGGUAAGACCUUUCUCCCCUAACUUUACUCCUUUGCUCUUAUUCAUCCUGGAGUAACCAGAGGCAGCAUAAGUAAGGGACUAGGAAUGGAAGGGAAAAGUGCAGAAAAAUCAAAGAAGCUCAUGCUCCAACCCUUCCUAUUAGCUUCCUAGUCUGAGUCAGGUGCAUGCUUUGAGACAGUGGGCAUUUUUGAAUUAGAUGAGUGAUGGGAGGUUUGCUUUUAGGCCAUACUGGACUCUGUGAUCUGCAGGUUCAUCAGUAGAAAUGAGUAAAGCUAGGGCCACACUAAGAGUGGUUCAUUCAGUAUACUGGGUAUAUCAGACAAUAUGAUUUAUUGUCUUAGUCUCAGAGCUCUAUGAGCCUUGUCUGCUGGCUCCUUUGCUGUCAUUGGUAUUUAAUAUGGAGUAAACAUGGGUUAUGUAUGCUAAAUUACUUUCAUUGCAAAGAGUUGGCUAAAUUCAGAGCUUAAAAUGGAUUUAACUAUGGG
rnacentral:lncRNA from 1 species